rnacentral:rRNA from 1 species
CGGCCAGACUCCUACGGGAGGCAGCAGUGGGGAAUAUUGCACAAUGGGGGGAACCCUGAUGCAGCGACGCCGCGUGGGUGAAGGAGUAUUUCGGUAUGUAAAGCCCUAUCAGCAGGGAAGAACAAUGACGGUACCUGACUAAGAAGCACCGGCUAAAUACGUGCCAGCAACCGCGGUAAUACGUAUGGUGCAAGCGUUGUCCGGAUUUACUGGGUGUAAAGGGCGUGCAGCCGGGCUGACAAGUCAGAUGUGAAAUCCCGCGGCUCAACCGCGGAACUGCAUUUGAAACUGUCAGUCUUGAGUACCGGAGAGGUCAUCGGAAUUCCUUGUGUAGCGGUGAAAUGCGUAGAUAUAAGGAAGAACACCAGUGGCGAAGGCGGAUGACUGGACGGCAACUGACGGUGAGGCGCGAAAGCGUGGGGAGCAAACAGGAUUAGAUACCCCCGUA